ensembl:rRNA 5S_rRNA 5S ribosomal RNA
GUCUACGGCCAUACCACCCUGAACGCACCCAAUCUCGUCUGAUCUUGGAAGCUAAGCAGGGUUGGGCUUGGUUAGGACUUGGAUGGGAGACCACCUGGGAAUACCAGGUGCCAUAGGCU